AGCAGUAGCCGCGGUAAUACGGAGGGUGCAAGCGUUAAUCGGAAUUACUGGGCGUAAAGGGUGCGUAGGCGGUUUGAUAAGUCUGAUGUGAAAUCUAUGGGCUCAACCCAUAGUCUGCAUUAGAAACUGUCGGGCUUGAGUAUGGGAGAGGUGAGUGGAAUUUCCGGUGUAGCGAUGAAAUGCGUAGAUAUCGGAAGGAACACCUGUGGCGAAAGCGGCUCACUGGACCAUAACUGACGCUGAUGCACGAAAGCUAGGGGAGCAAACAGGAUUAGAUACCCGGGUAGUCCCUGUCUCUUAUAA
rnacentral:rRNA from 1 species